UACGUAGGGUGCGAGCGUUAAUCGGAAUUACUGGGCGUAAAGCGUGCGCAGGCGGUUCUAUAAGACAGAUGUGAAAUCCCCGGGCUCAACCCUGGGAACUGCAUUUGUGACUGUAGAGCUGGAGUACGGCAGAGGGGGAUGGAAUUCCGCGUGUAGCAGUGAAAUGCGUAGAUAUGCGGAGGAACACCGAUGGCGAAGGCAAUCCCCUGGGCCUGUACUGACGCUCAUGCACGAAAGCGUGGGGAGCAAACAGG
rnacentral:rRNA from 1 species